CCUACGGGAGGCAGCAGUGAGGAAUAUUGGUCAAUGGACGAGAGUCUGAACCAGCCAAGUAGCGUGAAGGAUGACUGCCCUAUGGGUUGUAAACUUCUUUUAUAUGGGAAUAAAAUGUUCCACGUGUGGGUUUUUGUAUGUACCAUAUGAAUAAGGAUCGGCUAACUCCGUGCCAGCAGCCGCGGUAAUACGGAGGAUCCGAGCGUUAUCCGGAUUUAUUGGGUUUAAAGGGAGCGUAGGUGGAUUGUUAAGUCAGAUGUGAAAGUUUGCGGCUCAACCGUAAAAUUGCAGUUGAAACUGGCAGUCUUGAGUACAGUAGAGGUAGGCGGAAUUCGUGGUGUAGCGGUGAAAUGCUUAGAUAUCACGAAGAACUCCGAUUGCGAAGGCAGCUCACUGGACUGCAACUGACACUGAGGCUCGAAAGUGUGGGUAUCAAACAGGAUUAGAUACCCUAGUAGUC
rnacentral:rRNA from 1 species